AACGAACGCUGGCGGCAUGCCUAACACAUGCAAGUCGAACGAGACCUUCGGGUCUAGUGGCGCACGGGUGCGUAACGCGUGGGAACCUGCCCUUAGGUUCGGAAUAACUCCCCGAAAGGGGUGCUAAUACCGGAUAAUGUCUUCGGACCAAAGAUUUAUCGCCUUUGGAUGGGCCCGCGUUGGAUUAGCUAGUUGGUAGGGUAAAAGCCUAUCAAGGCGACGAUCCAUAGCUGGUCUGAGAGGAUGAUCAGCCACACUGGGACUGAGACACGGCCCAGACUCCUACGGGAGGCAGCAGUGGGGAAUAUUGGACAAUGGGCGAAAGCCUGAUCCAGCAAUGCCGCGUGAGUGAUGAAGGCCUUAGGGUUGUAAAGCUCUUUUACCCGGGAUGAUAAUGACGGUACCGGGAGAAUAAGCUCCGGCUAACUCCGUG
rnacentral:rRNA from 1 species